rnacentral:rRNA from 1 species
GUGGGGAAUCUUAGACAAUGGGCGCAAGCCUGAUCUAGCCAUGCCGCGUGAUCGAUGAAGGCCUUAGGGUUGUAAAGAUCUUUCAGUGGGGAAGAUAAUGACUGUACCCACAGAAGAAGCCCCGGCUAACUCCGUGCCAGCAGCCGCGGUAAUACGGAGGGGGCUAGCGUUGUUCGGAAUUACUGGGCGUAAAGCGCACGUAGGCGGAACAGAAAGUCAGAGGUGAAAUCCCAGGGCUCAACCUUGGAACUGCCUUUGAAACUCCUGUUCUUGAGUUAGAGAGAGGUGAGUGGAAUUCCGAGUGUAGAGGUGAAAUUCGUAGAUAUUCGGAGGAACACCAGUGGCGAAGGCGGCUCACUGGCUCGAUACUGACGCUGAGGUGCGAAAGCGUGGGGAGCAAACAGGAUUAGAAACCCGAGUAGUCC